rnacentral:rRNA from 1 species
GAUGAACGCUGGCGGCGUGCCUAAUACAUGCCAGUCGAGCGAACGGACGAGAAGCUUGCUUCUCUGAUGUUAGCGGAGGACGGGGGAGUAACACGUGGAUAACCUACAUAUAAGACUGGGAUAACUUCGGGAAACCGUAGCUAAUACCGGAUAAUAUUUUAAACCGCAUGGUUCAAAAGUGAAAGACGGUCUUGCUGUCACUUAUAGAUGGAUCCGCGCUGCAUUAGCUAGUUGGUAAGGUAACGGCUUACCAAGGCAACGAUGCAUAGCCGACCUGAGAGGGUGAUCGGCCACACGGGAACUGAGACACGGUCCAGACUCCUACGGGAGGCAGCAGUAGGGAAUCUUCCGCAAUGGGCGAAAGCCUGACGGAGCAACGCCGCGUGAGUGAUGAAGGUCUUCGGAUCGUAAAACUCUGUUAUUAGGGAAGAACAUAUGUGUAAGUAACUGUGCACAUCUUGACGGUACCUAAUCAGAAAGCCACGGCUAACUACGUG